rnacentral:rRNA from 1 species
GACGAACGCUGGCGGCGCGCUUAACACAUGCAAGUCGAGCGAUGAAAUCUUAACAGAACCCUUCGGGGCGAAGAUAAGACGGAUUAGCGGCGGACGGGUGAGUAACACGUGAGUAACCUGCCUUUUACACAGGGAUAGCCUCGGGAAACCGGGAUUAAAACCUGAUGAAACUAUCAAAUCACAUGAUUAAGAAAGUUAAAACCCCGGUGGUAAAAGAUGGACUCGCGUCCCAUUAGCUAGUUGGUGAAGGUAACGGCCCACCAAGGCAACGAUGGGUAGCCGGCCUGAGAGGGUGAACGGCCACAUUGGAACUGAGAAACGGUCCAAACUCCUACGGGAGGCAGCAGUGGGGAAUAUUGCACAAUGGGGGAAACCCUGAUGCAGCGACGCCGCGUGAGCGAAGAAGGCUUUCGGGUCGCAAAGCUCUUUUAUAUGGGAAGAUAAUGACGGUACCAUAAGAA